AACAAGUCAUAUCAGAUAUUUCUGAUAGCAUUAACAAUAAGCAUCCAAGAAUCCCCGCAAAAAAAAAGCAUCCUAGAAUAAGAGUCAACAACAGGCUAGUGCGACGCGAUGCCCUACAUGUCUUCGGCGAGCAGACUAUUCUUCUUUCUUUCUUUCAAUAGUGAGGCCUCUCAAUCAUCAAGAAACGAAAAAUAACUAGGAGUAAUACCGAGUACGUACUAUUCUUGGUCAAAUGCACCAUCUAUCCAAGCCUUAACGACCAUGCAUACU
rnacentral:lncRNA from 1 species